AUUGAACGCUGGCGGCAUGCCUUACACAUGCAAGUCGAACGGUAACGCGGGGCAACCUGGCGACGAGUGGCGAACGGGUGAGUAAAGCAUCGGAACGUGCCCAGUAGUGGGGGAUAGCCCGGCGAAAGCCGGAUUAAUACCGCAUACGACCUACGGGUGAAAGGGGGGGAUCGCAAGACCUCUCGCUAUUGGAGCGGCCGAUGUCAGAUUAGGUAGUUGGUGGGGUAAAGGCCUACCAAGCCUGCGAUCUGUAGCUGGUCUGAGAGGACGACCAGCAGCACUGGGACUGGGACACGGCCCAGACUCCUACGGGAGGCAGCAGUGGGGAAUAUUGCACAAUGGGCGCAAGCCUGAUGCAGCCAUGCCGCGUGCGGGAAGAAGGCCUUCGGGUUGUAAACCGCUUUUGUCAGGGAAGAAAAGCCUUGGGUUAAUACCCUGGGGUGAUGACGGUACCUGAAGAAUAAGCACCGGCUAACUACGUGCCAGCAGCCGCCGUAA
rnacentral:rRNA from 1 species